CCUACGGGAGGCAGCAGUGGGGAAUCUUGGACAAUGGGCGCAAGCCUGAUCCAGCCAUGCCGCGUGAGUGAUGAAGGCCUUAGGGUCGUAAAGCUCUUUCGCCAGAGAUGAUAAUGACAGUAUCUGGUAAAGAAACCCCGGCUAACUCCGUGCCAGCAGCCGCGGUAAUACGGAGGGGGUUAGCGUUGUUCGGAAUUACUGGGCGUAAAGCGCGCGUAGGCGGACCAGAAAGUUAGGGGUGAAAUCCCGGGGCUCAACCCCGGAACUGCCUCUAAAACUCCUGAUCUAGAGUUCGAGAGAGGUGAGUGGAAUUCCGAGUGUAGAGGUGAAAUUCGUAGAUAUUCGGAGGAACACCAGUGGCGAAGGCGGCUCACUGGCUCGAUACUGACGCUGAGGUGCGAAAGUGUGGGGAGCAAACAGGAUUAGAUACCCUGGUAGUCCACACCGUAAACGAUGAAUGCCAGUCGUCGGGUAGCAUGCUAUUCGGUGACACACCUAACGGAUUAAGCAUUCCGCCUGGGGAGUACGGUCGCAAGAUUAAAACUCAAAUGAAUUGACGG
rnacentral:rRNA from 1 species